UAUGUUCUUCGUGACAUGGCGUACUGCUCAGUAACACGUGGAUAACCUGCCCUUGGGUCCGGCAUAACCCCGGGAAACUGGGGAUAAUUCCGGAUAACGCACAUAUGCUGGAAUGCUUUAUGCGUCAAAUGGAUUCGUCUGCCCAAGGAUGGGUCUGCGGCCUAUCAGGUAGUAGUGGGUGUAAUGUACCUACUAGCCGACGACGGGUACGGGUUGUGAGAGCAAGAGCCCGG
rnacentral:rRNA from 1 species